rnacentral:rRNA from 1 species
UACGGGAGGCAGCAGUGGGGAAUAUUGCACAAUGGGCGAAAGCCUGAUGCAGCUAUGCCGCGUGUAUGAAGAAGGUCUUAGGGUUGUAAAGUACUUUCAUCGGGGAGGAAAAACAAAACUAAUAAUUUUAUUUCUUGACGUUACCCGAAAAAGAAGCACCGGCUAACUCCGUGCCAGCAGCCGCGGUAAUACGGAGGGUGCUAGCGUUAAUCAGAAUUACUGGGCGUAAAGAGCACGUAGGUGGUUUUUUUAAGUCAGAUGUGAAAUCCCUGGGCUUAACCUAGGAACUGCAUUUUGAAACUGAAAUACUAGAGUAUCGUAGAGGGAGGUAGAAUUCUAGGUGUAGCGGUGAAAUGCGUAGAUAUCUGGAGGAAUACCUGUGGCGAAAGCGGCCUCCUAAACGAAUACUGACACUGAGGUGCGAAAGCGUGGGGAGCAAACAGGGAUUAGAUACC